UCAGCACCUAACCAGAUGAUCAUGUGGU
rnacentral:misc_RNA from 1 species